rnacentral:rRNA from 1 species
CACGUAGGCGGUAUACCAAGUUAGAUGUGAAAUACCAGGGCUCAACCUUGGGGCGGCAUCUAAGACUGGUGUACUAGAGUUCAUUAGAGGGAAGUGGAAUUUCCGGUGUAGCGGUGAAAUGCGUAGAUAUCGGAAGGAACAUCAGUGGCGAAGGCGACUUUCUGGAAUUGAACUGACGCUGAGGAGCGAAAGCGUGGGUAGCGAACA